rnacentral:lncRNA from 1 species
CUCCCUCCCCUAACAGGAGCCCUAGAACCUGAAGAGCAUGUACAUUACUAACGAGAUAUACAAUCCAGCCACCCUGUCCAAACUGGAAUCUGAUUACUAAUGGACUACACUCGAGGCUGCCCCCAAGGGAUGGGAAGCAGUAACUACGCUCUCAGGGAGAAUGGGUACUGAGGAUGCCACCAGUCAAAGAGCCGAACGCUGUGCACUGGGUCCAGGAUGACUUGCACACCCUGUUCACUGCGCAGUUUCCGACCACCAUGGACAGGGGAAUCUUGGAACACCAGUCUCACUCGAUGAUGCCGCAUGUCCGUGCUCACAUUGAUAGUAAACAGAGUAAAUAUCAUUCCCAUGACAAUCGGAAUAAAGAUGAAAUUGAGGGUGGUGACCUGCAGUAGGCAGCAGUCCUGGUCUGGAUUGGUAUGAACAUCUUCGUACUGAACGGGAGGCUGCAAUCCUCCUGUACACUUGCUCUUUAACCUAGGGGACUGUUUUUUGAACUUGAAGUUGAAUUCCCACAUUGGUUCCUGUCUGUUCCCAACAAUCUUUCUGCACCAGAAAAGUAAGCAUUUGGAAUUCUUUAAUGUGCUGGGGGUGCUUUCUGGAAUGGCUGGAUUCUUGGAGAUUCGAGCAGCAAAUGGCUCAUACAUAUGGUACAGAGAUCGGAUCACAC